rnacentral:rRNA from 1 species
AUUGAACGCUGGCGGCAGGCCUAACACAUGCAAGUCGAGCGGCAGCGGGACCUUCGGGUUGCCGGCGAGCGGCGGACGGGUGAGUAAUGCCUAGGAAGCUGCCUGUUAGUGGGGGAUAACGCGGGGAAACUCGCGCUAAUACCGCAUACGUCCUACGGGAGAAAGCGGGGGCUCUUCGGACCUCGCGCUAACAGAUGAGCCUAGGUCGGAUUAGCUCGUUGGUGGGGUAAUGGCCCACCAAGGCGACGAUCCGUAACUGGUCUGAGAGGAUGAUCAGUCACACUGGAACUGAGACACGGUCCAGACUCCUACGGGAGGCAGCAGUGGGGAAUAUUGGACAAUGGGCGAAAGCCUGAUCCAGCCAUGCCGCGUGUGUGAAGAAGGUCUUCGGAUUGUAAAGCACUUUAAGUCGGGAGGAAGGGCUGUAGGCUAAUACCUUGCAGUUUUGACGUUACCGACAGAAUAAGCACCGGCUAACUUCGUGCCAGCAGCCGCAGUAA